CAGUGUCAUAACGAGUUGCCCGAUUUAUGCACCCACCACCAAUUGGACUGAUUCCUUUGAUCUUUGUUGCCUUUCCUUCUGAAAGGAUCCAUUCACGAACUGGAUCAUCACUCAUUGCAGCCACAAUUAGAGGUUUGUGCUUGUUGAAGUUGAAAGGGUGUUGGAGAGAAGGGGAAGAUAUAGAAGGCAUGGAGGAGGAAAAGGAAAUACUCCCCAAGAGUGCUACAGCCAUUUUUUGCCCUCUUUUGCCUGGAGAUAUUUCUCCACUUUUUUAGUGGUUCUUGAUAGUUG
rnacentral:misc_RNA from 1 species